rnacentral:lncRNA from 1 species
AGCCUUGAUCGCGCGGGUGUGGACGCGCUGCAGCACGAUUCUCGCCACACAAUAAAAGUUUCGAGUCCUUUAAUCUAAAACAAAAACAUACUCCAUGGCUUUGCAAAGAUGUUUCGAUAAACCACGUUGGGUUUUGUGACAAGUUUUUAUUCCAUGCUGUGAGGAUUAGCGUGGGUGCGACGAGGACUUCCAACUGUAUUCACGCCCACAUUCCGAAUGGGCGGUGGGCGGCCACGCACAACAGUCGCACCUUCACUGCCUUCACACCUCCACUGCCUUCACACCUGUUCGUCGCCAGAUCGAUUGGACUUCCUUAAUCAUCCCUAGAUGCCCGCUGCCACCACAGUAGCACGUUGCAGAUGAUGGUCGAUACGAACUUUGCAACUUGUUCAACAAAAGAGCGUUGGCAACGGCAGCAUGGCAAUAUACUCAUUUCCGGCGCCACCUCCACGGUCACUAUUUCGUUAUCGUCAUAAUCUCCUCCACUCAGCUCCUUAGCACUCCACCACUUCAACUACACAACUUCCACGCCGUGACGUCAGACGCCAGCACCCGCAAGAGCAAGUCCGUCACCAGCUGAUGUCACACGCCACGACAGCAGCCGUCUCGAGGGGUCUCCGGUAAGCGCCUUGUACCACCACCACCACUCCCAAGGCUGUACUAGCGAGCGACGAGCGCAAGGCGAGGAGUCUCUCCAUCAGCUGGGGCCUGAGUGUGGGUGGACCCAGACUCACAUUCAACUUUCUCUGCCCUCAGCCCACACUCACUACACUUCGUGUGCCCGAUCCCCACACCCCUCGGCUCUUAGGGCUCCGCGACAUGCCAUAACCUGACAUGACGGAACGCACAAUAGCAUCUCGGCUAAUUACGCAUCGUACAGUGUAUUCAGCGUAUUCAGAGGGAGAAAUUGGUGAAGUUUUAUGAAGUCUUCGACCAUUUCCAGUUCAAUCGUUCACACUCCCAUUAGGUGACUAAUUUCGCUUUUGGCGCAUACAUAUUCCGAUGAGGGUUCCCCGCUAUGUUCCUCAAUGAUAUAUAUCUGAGAUACUAUACAUGUGGUGACUAAUAAACAUCUUUUAUUAAA